rnacentral:rRNA from 1 species
AUGGCUUUCAUCGCGUCCAAGCUCGUUCGGGCAGCCCUAGCAUCACGCCCCAUUGGAGAUACUGCUGGUGGCAUCUCUCCGUGCCUCCCCCGGCUCUAUCUGACUGGCGAUUCCAUCCGUCGCAUGUCUGCAGCUGCAGAAGGUUCUGGAUCAGAAAAAAUUCUCGGACUAGUCUUUACGGCGGACAUAAAUCCAAAUGAAAAAUAUCCCCUUGUUGAUGAGAAUUCCAUUAAGUCCAAGGAAUCUCUGUGGGCCUUGUAUAAAUGCUGGUGCAAGUAUCGUGGGGUAUCUCGUAGCCAUGAAGAAAUGACCCGCCGGUUCAGGUCAUUUAGGGCUUGUGCAAUGUCCGUGUACAAAGCUAACAAUUCUGGAUCGUCGCAAGUGUCUCAACUGGGCCCAUUUGCAGAUAUGACUAAGGCGGAGAUUGCUCGGCUGUUUCCUCCUCGUGUUGGUCUUCUUAGCUUGCAUUCUGCACACAACCAUCACUAA